UACGGAGGGUGCGAGCGUUGUUCGGAAUCACUGGGCGUAAAGGGCGCGUAGGUGGCGCGGGCAGUCAACGGUGAAAGUUCGGGGCUCAACCCUGAAUCGGCCGUCGAUACUCCCGGGCUUGAGCACUGUAGAGGCAGAUGGAAUUCCGGGUGUAGCGGUGGAAUGCGUAGAGAUCCGGAAGAACACCGGUGGCGAAGGCGGCGACCUGGUCCGAUACUGACGCUGAGGCGCGAAAGCGUGGGGAGCAAACAGG
rnacentral:rRNA from 1 species